rnacentral:lncRNA from 1 species
UCCUGUUAUUUUUUGAUUGUUUAUAAUGUUGCUAGUUUCUUUGUUCAUUUUUCUUUUUUCUUUUCUUUUUGUUAAACUAAAAAGGAUAUGAUGUCGCCCUGAAAACUCAGCUUCUGAGCUUGCUAACAUAGUUUUCUAAGGACUUUCCCAGGACAGUAACUGUAAACAUAGAUAUGUAUACAUUCUUUCUGUUACACGUCUUGUGAUGGGCAUCUCUCAAGGCCAGUGCAGUGAGAAAGUGUUAUCCUGACCAUCCAAUCCCUGGCCAUGGUCAGAAGCCUAUAAAUCCUGGGAGGAAAAAUAAACUCUGCCCUUUCUUCCACCACACCUCGACCUGUGUCCACGUGAUCUAUUCAUCUUCAGCGGUAACAAUUGUCCUGCAGAUAGAGAGGCACAGCAAUCAAAACCAAAGAGUCAGCUUGGAACAUGAGAGACAAAGAAGAAAACUGCAACACCACUGAAGUCUUUAUGAAUUCCCCAAACUGCAAUUUAUUCCAAAGAAAUCAUCUGCAAAAGGUGUCUAGUGCCCUGGUUGAGUUACUGAAGAGGAGUCCAAAUGCCUUGACACCCCAAACUUAGAUGCUACUAUGCUAAUCCUGUUGUAUUACAGAUACUUUAAUUGUCUACAGAAAGUCAGAAGAUGGUCUGAUUUGUGACAACAGCAAAACAGUAUUUUGCAAUAAACUCAAUAAAGGUGUAAUAAAAC